rnacentral:rRNA from 1 species
CAGUAGCCGCGGUAAUACGUAGGGUGCGAGCGCUAUCCGGAAUUAUUGGGCGUAAAGAGCUCGUAGGCGGUUUGUCGCGUCUGUCGUGAAAGUCCGGGGCUUAACCCCGGAUCUGCGGUGGGUACGGGCAGACUAGAGUGCAGUAGGGGAGACUGGAAUUCCUGGUGUAGCGGUGGAAUGCGCAGAUAUCAGGAGGAACACCGAUGGCGAAGGCAGGUCUCUGGGCUGUAACUGACGCUGAGGAGCGAAAGCAUGGGGAGCGAACAGGAUUAGAUACCCGGGUAGUCCCUGUCUCUUAUAC